ACAGAGUAAAUAGCAUUGAUUGAAAUUGUAAAAGAAACAAACAUACCAAUGUUUUUCUCGUACUUGCAGAAACAAAAAAGUUAUGAAAAAUAAUGUUGUCGGAAAAAUAAAUUUUUGUGUUUUGGCCAAAGCAUAAGCCUCCUUACAUGACCCCCCCAAAGAAAAAAAAAAAUCGACACCCUCGUCUUAGCACGUCUGAGCUCAAAAGAGGGAUCCAUACAAAAUUUCAGCCCCCCAGGUUCAACGGUGCGGGAACGUAAAAAAGAUAUCUACACACACAAUCUCUCUUUUAUUAUAUAGAUACUAGCUAAGGAUUAAGGAUCAAAAAUACUUGAUUAAUUUUGGAAAACUAAUAAAAAAAAUUCAUAUUUCUAAACUAUAGAUCUACCAAGAUUCGGAGCUCUUCAAUUUUUCACCUUAAAGUCGGAAAUAUGAUAUGUUAUACGAUAAGAAAUCAAAAACUAAUAAUUGCAUAAUCAAACAAUUAAUUUUUCUAAUGAAUUGAAGCAAAUGAUGGAAUUUAGUGUAGAAUCCAAAACUGAUCUUAGUUUUUCUGUCCGUAUUCUGAAAUAUGAGGGAUUAUAUUAAUUCGGGACUAUUAUCAUUCAGAGUCGUGUUUUACCCUUAAAACAAUCACGAAAUCAAAGGCCAAAAAAUGAUGGAAACGACUCUCUUUUUUAUAUUCUUGUAACAUAUUCAUCAUUCAUUGAAGUGUUUACGCACUCACUUACAACGCAAGACCUCUUUCUUUAAAUAAUUUAAUGUAUUUUCUUUUUCUUCAAGAAAAAAAAGAAGAAAAACGUAAGGAAAUUAGAUACAAGAGAAGAUACGGAUGAAAUUGGAACAGUUUCAUCGAUUUAAUGUUCGAAUCAGUGUAAUCAACUAAUAAGUUCGAAUCAUAUCGUUAUAGGCCUAUUACUAUCGUUACAUUAUAGAAAAAAAAUAUAUUACUGAUUACUCCGAUCGAUGGAAAUUUAAGAUUCUUCGCCGGGACUUAAAGGAAGCUUUUCGUCGCUCUUUGUUGCAUCCAUCCAGAGAAAUUUUAUUGUUUUGGGUGAUUUUUCCAGUGAAUGAGUAUAACGCUCAAGCUCAUUCAUGAAUUACUCCUUGACACGUAGUGACAAAUGAUUAACAUUAGGAGAGUUCGAAAGAUUAUUUACUGCAAAUGAUACAUUUUAUACCUUUUGGGAUUUUGUGUGAAUUAUUAUUAAAUGAAGCAUUACAAUAUUACUUUCGAAAAAUUGAAUUAUGACGUUUAUGCCUGAUUUAUGGGGAAGGUAUUCAAUAUUUUACUAGACUAUCAUUAUAUUCUCACUUAUAAGGAGCCAAAUAAAUAUUCAAUACUUUUCUA
rnacentral:lncRNA from 1 species